rnacentral:rRNA from 1 species
GGUCGCGUCCUAUCAGGUAGUCGGCGGGGUAACGGCCCACCGAGCCUACGACGGGUAGCCGGCCUGAGAGGGCGACCGGCCACAUUGGGACUGAGAUACGGCCCAGACUCCUACGGGAGGCAGCAGUGGGGAAUAUUGCACAAUGGGCGCAAGCCUGAUGCAGCGACGCCGCGUGCGGGAUGACGGCCUUCGGGUUGUAAACCGCUUUUGAUCGGGAGCAAGCCUUCGGGUGAGUGUACCUUUCGAAUAAGCACCGGCUAACUACGUGCCAGCAGCCGCGGUAAUACGUAGGGUGCAAGCGUUAUCCGGAAUUAUUGGGCGUAAAGGGCUCGUAGGCGGUUCGUCGCGUCCGGUGUGAAAGUCCAUCGCUUAACGGUGGAUCUGCGCCGGGUACGGGCGGGCUGGAGUGCGGUAGGGGAGACUGGAAUUCCCGGUGUAACGGUGGAAU